AACAGGAGUGGUAUAAAAACCUGAAUCUCGGCUACUGAUUAUUCGGUUAUAAGACAACAGAGUUUGAGGUGGUAAGGUUGUGUCUUAUUCAAUUGACGCUGAUAUAGCCUAACUUUCAAGAUCAAUGAUGAAAACGGCGGGGCUAAUAGCUGUUGUGCUCUGCUCUUUCUGUGUGUUGGUGCACGCCAGCAUUGUAGAGUUAGGCGGUUUUACGGCUAUUUAUGGAUUGACUGGCUGUCUCUUCGAGCCGACAGAAGGAUGUGGCAGAAGGGGAAGCGAUGUCUGCUAUGACGAUCGAAGUAACGCUUAUGCCAUCACGGGAACGUCUCCAAUCUGCAAUGCCUGUAUGCCAAAAGGCUUCCGAAACAUCGCUACUUUCCAAGUUCCUGCCAAUCUGCCCUGUGCUCUUUGGAGAGCCUACGGCUGUGAUGAUUACUUUGUGACCAAUGUCUACGAGAAAACUGGAAUCAACUCAUGUUGGUUGAGUGGCUAUAAAUCUUACAACAUACAAAACACAUUUAGUAGUGCACAAGAAGCGCAAGACACAUUUUUAAGGCAAUGUCGUCAACACAAAACGUUCGCCGAUUAUGGAUUGCCUGCUGGUACCCAAUUGAUCACUGAAAGAGAUUUUUGCUUCCCGCUACGUAACAAUAUUACCGACAUAACAAUAGCUGCUGUGGGCACACAACAGGCGACGGUAUUAACUAACUACAAGGAAUAUUAUGAGCACAAAUUUAACGUCGUUGUGAAACCAAACGAUGAAAAGUUAUUAUCUUCAAUUGUUAACAACUGAAGGGACGUACCUUUUUAAUACUUAAUAAUUACACACAUUUUCGCAUCAACUAAA